rnacentral:rRNA from 1 species
UACGGAGGGGGCAAGCGUUAUUCGGAAUCAUUGGGCGUAAAGCGCGCGUAGGCGGUUUGUUAAGCUAGAGGUGAAAUCCCAGGGCUCAACCCUGGAACUGCCUUUGGAACUGACAAACUAGAAUCUGUUAGGGGAUAGUGGAAUUCUUAGUGUAGAGGUGAAAUUCGUAGAUAUUAAGAGGAACACCAGUGGCGAAGGCGACUAUCUGGGGCAGUAUUGACGCUAAGGUGCGAAAGCGUGGGGAGCAAAC